rnacentral:lncRNA from 1 species
AAAAUCUGCAGAUUUAACAGUUUGAAUUACAUCCAUCCAUCCAUCCCCCAUCCAGAGGACAUGUCCCUCCUUCCUCCUCCCAAAUCCAGCACCUGCCAGGAGUCCACUGAUACCCCCCCACCUCAAUAGAAACUCACCCUCACCUCAGCCAGAAGCCUUCAAAACACUUUGAAUUAUUUCCCCCCUACCCAUUUUAAGAAAAUAAAUAAGAGGAAAAUUUUAACCAGAUCAUCUACUUUUUAUUUCAGAGGAAAGAUUUGCAUUAUUUACUUUUAUUUAUAUACAUGUACUUCACAUUUGUAUUUAAAAUGCACAGACCUCCCAAGGUUCUCUCAUUCCGGCUUUAAAUUAGCUGUUAUUUUACAAUACAAAAAAUUAUACCAAAAACUGCAAUCCUAAAUGUGUGUAUGUAUAACACCCACAACCCCAGCAAUGAAAUAGUUUACAAUACUUGCUCCUAUUUACAUAUGAAUGCAAUAAAUGCUAAAUUAUACAUAUUAACAAACUAAGCUCAAGUCUGAACACAGAUAAGAAUCAUAAAUAAUUACAGAACAAAGAGGGGAAAAAAUCCAGAAUACAAUUAAUUCAAGGAUCUUAGUUUAAAGAACAUUAAUGUGCACAAAUUUCAGAGUAAUAGAAAACUCUUUUUUUUUCUUUUCUUUUUUUUUUUUUUUUAAUGGACUGACAUGUGAUACACUCUGCGACAAUUGUUAUUUUUUUUUCUUUUUUUCUACUGGUGAGGUUUGUGGAAUCAAUACUAAAUGGAGAGGAAACGUCUAAAGAAUUCUAGUACCUGGAAGACGCACACAAAUAGUCUGUGUGAACAAAGAAACAGACUGAACAAAACCUGCCCUGAUGCAAAAAAUCAGCAGAUACACAAAUUGUAGUAGUCCUGGCAUGGAAACUCAGCUCGUUUCAGCAGCUAACAAGAGAAAAAGCAGGAAUUUGUCUAAAAUUGCAAAGAACGCACCCAAAACGAGGAGCACGCCCCAAGCCAUUCCUUCCCUCCCUUCCCAGCACAGCCCACCAAGCCCUGUCCCCCCAUCCUGCAGCUCCAGGGGGCUCUGCCAGGGCAGAGCCUGCUGGCUGCAUUCUCACAGCACAGCUCAGGAUAAUAAAUCCCAGUUAACAGCAAGAAAUCCCAGUGGGAAGGGGCUGAGGGCUCCGGGAUGCAGCUGGUGCCUGUCCCCAGCUCAGGGUCUCCUGGAGAAGGAAAAGCAGCUGGAACACCUGGAGCAGCAAGGACAGGGGGCAGCCCAGCCCAUGGCACUGGAGCCCCCAGGUUAUGGAGAAGGCCCAGGGCUGAUUUCAGCCUCAAACCCUCCUUCCAGCCCGUGCAGGGCCGAGCAAGCUGAGUGCCAUUUCCAGGCACCCCCCAACCAGGGCUGGGCACCCCGGGCACGUCUCCUCACAGCACCAGAACCUCUGGGCACCCUCCAGGACACAGAGCACCCCUCAGCAGGGUGGGUCUGCCAGCAGGGGCUGCCACGUCCACAGCUCCACACCACUGAGUCUGGGACAUUACACACCACGGCUGAUGUUAAUCACAGGCAUUUCCCAUCAUAAACAGCUUUAUUUUCGUAAUUUCACUGCAAUGCAUUUUAAGCCCAGGAAAAGUGAUAACAACUGAAAAGUUGUCUCAUAAAUAUUCUUGUACCCAAAAUAUUGAGCCAGAGCAUAGCAAGGUCAUGCUACACCAGCCCAGAGAAAAUUCUGGGCUAAAAACCAUGGAAAAUGGUGAAUUAAAAAAAAAAAAGGUGUUAUUUGGAGAUCCACUGGCACCAUUGUUUUCUCAAAGAAAAGGGCCCCAACAGUUCUGAAAUUUCAUUAAUUUUUUAAAAGGCUCCUCUCAUAGAAUUAAAAUCUUCUGAGGGCCCAGACACCAAAUGCUGAAUUUCAGCCAGUUUACACCUGAAAAUAGUGAUUUUGAAUGGAAACACUGCCACAAUUUUAGUAACAAAGGCCUUAAAGGACUGAUUCAAUCCUCCACGUAGUGACCACUUUAAGGACCUUUAUUACUUGCAUCCAAAUGUUGCUUUUUCCCCUAUCAAAUGCAAAAGCCAUUAUUUAACUUGGUUUCUACAUAUAAGUGAAAUACAUUUGAACACACAAAAGUCAAGUUAUGCCUCCCUGCUUUGCAAGAUAUCACGAUAUAAUCUGGUGUUUAAAGAUCUGGAAAGUUAUCUACUACUGAUCAGAUGAAGGAGUUUUUAAGACAAAACUCAUACAUAAUUUAAAAUCAACAAAAAUACAUUCAAUAUUUUUUCUGGUUUAUAUACACUUUAAAUCUCUCCAUGUUCUGCACGUUACUGUAGAGUUUAUGUACAAGUGCAAAAUCUGUGUGCCAUUUGUCAUUUAUUUACAGAUUCUCCCAUGAAAUAAGGUUUUCUUUCUCCCCCACCUCACUUCCAAAUGAAAUAAACCCAAAAAUCCUUCACUUUUGAUACUGGCC